CCAGCCUUCUGAAAGGAAGAUUAAUCCAGGAUGGGAUCAUGAGUUCACAUGUCCGCAUGAUUAAAGGUAUUUUCCGGUAGACGAUGGGGAUGCGUUCCAUUAGAUAGUAGGCGGGGUAACGGCCCACCUAGUCAACGAUGGAUAGGGGUUCUGAGAGGAAGGUCCCCCACAUUGGAACUGAGACACGGUCCAAACUCCUACGGGAGGCAGCAGUGAGGAAUAUUGGUCAAUGGGCGAUGGCCUGAACCAGCCAAGUAGCGUGAAGGAUGACUGCCCUAUGGGUUGUAAACUUCUUUUAUAAAGGAAUAAAGUCGGGUAUGCAUACCCGUUUGCAUGUACUUUAUGAAUAAGGAUCGGCUAACUCCGUGCCAGCAGCCGCGGUAAUACGGAGGAUCCGAGCGUUAUCCGGAUUUAUUGGGUUUAAAGGGAGCGUAGAUGGAUGUUUAAGUCAGUUGUGAAAGUUUGCGGCUCAACCGUAAAAUUGCAGUUGAUACUGGAUGUCUUGAGUGCAGUUGAGGCAGGCGGAAUUCGUGGUGUAGCGGUGAAAUGCUUAGA
rnacentral:rRNA from 1 species